CUUGAACCCAGGAAGGGGGAGGUUGCAGUGAGCCGAGAUCGUACCACUGCACUCCAGGCUGGGCGACGAGCUGGAAACUCCAUCUCAAAACAAUAACAACAAAAGAAACAGGCCCGGGCAGCGUCUGCCGGCAGUGUCAUCAAGAAGACAGCAUGUGGCUGUGGCAGAGGCCUAUCAAGGUUCUAAUUCCAGUCCCACAUUUUCUGACUGUAAGAUCCUAAGUGUGGCCAUAUGACUGAGUUCUAGCCAGUGAAAUGUGAGCAUGAAUCAUGCAUGCGCCUUCCAGACCCGGCCCACAGAAACCACCUUCAUGAUCCUCCACUCUCUCCCCAUGUGGGCUGGAUGCAGAGGAUCCAAGAGACAAUUCUGAGGCCAAGGGGAAGGCAGAGCCACAGACAAAAGGGGCCUGGCAUCCCGAAUCACCAUGCAGAUGGCCACCUGCUGAUAACCCGUAUUGACCUGUAACAUGACAGAGAAAUCACAUUCUCCAUCAUUAGGCCACUGAGUUUGUUUGUUCCAGCAACUGACCUAUUUUGAUACAAUGAUAUUUUCUGUAUAAGGGACUUGUUGGUAAAGAUGAAAUUACAAAACAGAAAAAUCUUCAGAGUCAUAAUAAAUGUUUACUGCACCAGGUCAUUAAAUAAACGUUUCUUGAACCCCUCGUGUUUGGGAGGCGCUUUAGUGAACAAACCAGACAACGUCUGUGCUAUUAUGUGGAUGAAGAAAAAGAGGGAACCGGUAAGCAUUUCUCUCCUGUAGGACGUAGAGAGUGGUGGUGCCACUGAC
rnacentral:lncRNA from 10 species